rnacentral:rRNA from 1 species
UGCGCAGGCGGACCUAUCAGUCAGUGUUGAAAUCUCUCGGCUCAACCGGAAAACUGCCAUUGAUACUGUAGGUCUUGAGUUUGGUUGAAGUGGGCGGAAUGUAGCAUGUAGCGGUGAAAUGCAUAGAUAUGCUACAGAACACCGAUCGCGAAGGCAGCUCACUAAACCAAAACUGACGCUCAGGCACGAAAGCGUGGGUAGCGAACAGGAUUAGAUACCCUGGUAGUCC